AGGAGGCCGCGACGGAGGGAGGCAGUGCUGACGGCGGUGGACGAGGCCGCGAGGGAGGGAGGCGAUAGUGGAGGAGGCCGUGAGGGACGGAGGCGGUGAUGGAGGAGGCCGCGAGGGAGGGAGGCAGCGCUCGUGGCGGUGGAAGGAGGAGAUGGGGAUCGGUGCGCCAGCGCCUACUGUGAAGGAGAGGAGAGGAGGAGCGGCGCCAGGAGCUAGGAGGGGAGGUCGGAAGGGAGCGCCACCCACCAGAUGGGAGGAAGGGAGGUCAGAGGGGAGCGCCACCCGCCGGAGGGGAGGUCGGAGGGCAGGCCGCAGGCGGAGGGGAGGAGGGGAGGCGGCGGGGAGAUGGCGAUCGGGCAAGGAAGGGUGGCGACAGGGUAGAGGUGAGAUGGUACAGGUUGGCUGGCCAAAAUGUUCUGAUGUUGGUAUUUAUAUGGGCCUUAGCGGGCCUGCUCCUUGACACCAUGCCGGGCCGGGCCGCCCGUCAUGCCGGGUGGCGGCCCAUGCACAGCACGAGCUACUGGGUUGGGCCAGCACGAGCAUGAUGCCCUCCGUGCCAGGUCAAGCUAGAGUCGGGUCAAAAAAUUAGGCUCUGUCGGUGUUUUAUACCGGCAACCUACCGAGGGAGUACCCGAG
rnacentral:lncRNA from 1 species